GAGGACUUAGCUUAAUUAAAGUGUUUGAUUUGCAUUCAAUUGAUGUAGGAUGGGUCCUGCAGUCCUUA
rnacentral:tRNA from 1 species